AUACGUAGGUGGCAAGCGUUGUCCGGAAUUAUUGGGCGUAAAGCGCAUGUAGGCGGUUUGGUAAGUCGGUCGUGAAAAUGCGGUGCUUAGCGCCGUAUGGCGAUUGAAACUGCUGAACUUGAGUGCAGGAGAGGAAAGGGGAACUCCCAGUGUAGCGGUGAAAUGCGUAGAUAUUGGGAAGAACACCGGUGGCGAAGGCGCCUUGCUGGCCUGUGUCUGAGGCUCAGAGGCGAAAGCCAGGGAAGCGAACGGGAUUGUAUCCCCCGGUAGUCCUGGCCGUAAACGAUGGGUACUAGGUGUGGGAGGUAUCGACUCCUUCCGUGCCGGAGUUAACGCAAUAAGUACCCCGCCUGGGGAGUACGGCCGCAAGGCUUAAACUCAAAGGAAUUGACGGGG
rnacentral:rRNA from 1 species